UACAGAGGGUGCGAGCGUUAAUCGGAAUUACUGGGCGUAGAGCGCGCGUAGGCGGCUUUGCAAGUCGGGUGUGAAAUCCCCAGGCUUAACCUGGGAACUGCAUUCGAGACUGCAUUGCUAGAGUAUGGGAGAGGGAAGUGGAAUUUCAGGUGUAGCGGUGAAAUGCGUAGAUAUCUGAAGGAACAUCAGUGGCGAAAGCGACUUCCUGGACCAAUACUGACGCUCAUGUGCGGAAGCGUGGGGAGCAAACAGG
rnacentral:rRNA from 1 species